rnacentral:rRNA from 1 species
CGAGAAUCAUUCACAAUGGGGGAAACCCUGAUGGUGCGACGCCGCGUGGGGGAAUGAAGGUCUUCGGAUUGUAAACCCCUGUCAUGUGGGAGCAAAUUAAAAAGAUAGUACCACAAGAGGAAGAGACGGCUAACUCUGUGCCAGCAGCCGCGGUAAUACAGAGGUCUCAAGCGUUGUUCGGAAUCACUGGGCGUAAAGCGUGCGUAGGCUGUUUCGUAAGUCGUGUGUGAAAGGCGCGGGCUCAACCCGCGGACGGCACAUGAUACUGCGAGACUAGAGUAAUGGAGGGGGAACCGGAAUUCUCGGUGUAGCAGUGAAAUGCGUAGAUAUCGAGAGGAACACUCGUGGCGAAGGCGGGUUCCUGGACAUUAACUGACGCUGAGGCACGAAGGCCAGGGGAGCGAAAGGGAUUAGAUACCCCUGUAGUCCUGGCAGUAAACGGUGCACGCUUGGUGUGCGGGGAAUCGACCCCCUGCGUGCCGGAGCUAACGCGUUAAGCGUGCCGCCUGGGGAGUACGGUCGCAAGAUUAAAACUCAAAGAAAUUGACGGGGACCCGCACAAGCGGUGGAGUAUGUGGCUUAAUUCGAUGCAACGCGAAGAACCUUACCUGGGCUUGACAUGUAAUGAACAACAUGUGAAAGCAUGCGACUCUUCGGAGGCGUUACACAGGUGCUGCAUGGCCGUCGUCAGCUCGUGUCGUGAGAUGUUUGGUUAAGUCCAGCAACGAGCGCAACCCCUGUUGCCAGUUACCAGCACGUGAAGGUGGGGACUCUGGCGAGACUGCCCAGAUCAACUGGGAGGAAGGUGGGGACGACGUCAGGUCAGUAUGGCCCUUAUGCCCAGGGCUGCACACGUACUACAAUGCCCAGUACAGAGGGGGCCGAAGCCGCGAGGCGGAGGAAAUCCUAAAAACUGGGCCCAGUUCGGACUGUAGGCUGCAACCCGCCUACACGAAGCCGGAAUCGCUAGUAAUGGCGCAUCAGCUACGGCGCCGUGAAUACGUUCCCG